UACGUAGGGGGCAAGCGUUGUCCGGAUUUACUGGGCGUAAAGAGCGUGUAGGCGGCCAAGCAGGUCCGUUGUGAAAACUGGAGGCUUAACCUCCAGACGUCGACGGAAACCGCGUGGCUAGAGUCCGGAAGAGGAGAGUGGAAUUCCUGGUGUAGCGGUGAAAUGCGCAGAUAUCAGGAAGAACACCAAUGGCGGAGGCAGCUCUCUGGGACGGUACUGACGCUGAGACGCGAAAGCGUGGGGAGCAAACAGG
rnacentral:rRNA from 1 species